rnacentral:rRNA from 1 species
UACGUAGGGUGCGAGCGUUAAUCGGAAUUACUGGGCGUAAAGCGUGCGCAGGCGGUUUUGUAAGCCAGGUGUGAAAUCCCCGGGCUUAACCUGGGAAUGGCAUUUGGGACUGCAAGGCUGGAGUGUGGCAGAGGAGACUGGAAUUCCUGGUGUAGCAGUGAAAUGCGCAGAUAUCAGGAAGAACACCCGUGGCGAAGGCGGUUCUCUGGGACGGUACUGACGCUGAGACGCGAAAGCGUGGGGAGCGAACAGG